ACACUCCUGCGGGAGGCAGCAGUGGGGAAUUUUGGACAAUGGGCGAAAGCCUGAUCCAGCAAUGCCGCGUGAGUGAAGAAGGCCUUCGGGUUGUAAAGCUCUUUUGUCAGGGAAGAAACGGUGAAAGCUAAUAUCUUUUGCUAAUGACGGUACCUGAAGAAUAAGCACCGGCUAACUACGUGCCAGCAGCCGCGGUAAUACGUAGGGUGCAAGCGUUAAUCGGAAUUACUGGGCGUAAAGCGUGCGCAGGCGGUUUUGUAAGUCUGAUGUGAAAUCCCCGGGCUCAACCUGGGAAUUGCAUUGGAGACUGCAAGGCUAGAAUCUGGCAGAGGGGGGUAGAAUUCCACGUGUAGCAGUGAAAUGCGUAGAUAUGUGGAGGAACACCGAUGGCGAAGGCAGCCCCCUGGGUCAAGAUUGACGCUCAUGCACGAAAGCGUGGGGAGCAAACAGGAUUAGAAACCCUGGUAGUCCC
rnacentral:rRNA from 1 species